AUUUGAUGAUGUGGACAUUGUAUUUGAAGAUCAUUAAAUCUUUCCCACGCUUCGUAAAAUUUUUCAUUAGGUUUUUUAGUAAAUGUUUGAAUUUUUUGUCGAAUAUC
rnacentral:snoRNA from 1 species